CAAUCUGUACCCUUCCUUAUCAACCCAAAACCAACAAAACCUAAUAAUAAUACUUGCAGAAACAAAACAUAGAAGCAACAAAAGGUUGAAGCUUUGUACCCUUUACCAAUUUCAACACUCUGAAUCUCAGCAUCAACAGUGCGUCUACUUGGGACAAAAUUCCCAUUAGAACCCUCUAAUAGCCAUUAAGUGUGACUAAACCUUGAUGACAACCCAUAGACACAACCAAAAAGCCCAACAAAACAAAACCUAAUCACUAAUAAUUAGAAACCUACACAACAAAAAGAGCACCAGUGAAUCAGGGUUUGGUAUCUGGCGGCAAUUGCAGGAGUAGCAGGAGUUGGCCACGGAGGGAGCGAGAAGUCGGUGGACACAGAGGGAGGAAGAGAAGCACCAGUGAAGAAAUCGAAGGAGGGAGAACUAAAAUGAGAGGGGAAUUGGAGACCUAAAACGAAAGAG
rnacentral:lncRNA from 1 species